AUUCCCCUAGUAACUGCGAGUGAAGCGGGAAGAGCUCAAAUUUAAAAUCUGGCGGUCCUUUGGCCGUCCGAGUUGUAUUCUGGAGAAGUGCUUUCCGCGCUGGACCGUGUAUAAGUCUCUUGGAACAGAGCGUCGUAGAGGGUGAGAAUCCCGUCUUUGACACGGACUACCAGUGCUUUGUGAUGCGCUCUCAAAGAGUCGAGUUGUUUGGGAAUGCAGCUCAAAAUGGGUGGU
rnacentral:rRNA from 1 species